UUGAUACCAUGAGGAUAAGGCCUGCAGAUUCAAAGACAGCCAGGUUCCAGCUGACUGCUCAAGAUGGUUGGUGCCUGGAUGUGACCUGAGUUAUGAGACCACCUUGAAGGAAGGAACAGUGACAUUGUGAAACAGACUUGGCCAAUCUCAACUUCUCAGUACCUAUGUCUGUGCACCACAAGCCUGCAGUACCUGUGGAGGAGAGAAAACGGUGCCAGCACAGAAGAGACAGGAGUUUCCCUUGAGCUACCUGACUUCCAGAUGAGCUGCAAAAAAGGUGAGCCUGAGGUUCAAG
rnacentral:lncRNA from 1 species